rnacentral:ncRNA from 2 species
CGGCGCUCUCACGUCAUGGGUGCCCGGUUUGCCGGGCCUAAGAGGGAAGCCGGCCGCAACUGCCGGCGCUGCCCCCGCAACUGUGACCGGAGAGCCCGUCUCCAUCGCGCCACUGGCCGUUUUCGGCUGGGAAGGCGGGGGCGGGCGAUGAUCCGGGAGCCAGGAGACCUGCCCAGAGACGGUCGUUCCG